rnacentral:rRNA from 1 species
GAUGAACGCUAGCUACAGGCUUAACACAUGCAAGUCGAGGGGAAACGGCAUCGAAAGCUUGCUUUUGAUGGGCGUCGACCGGCGCACGGGUGAGUAACGCGUAUCCAACCUGCCCAUCACUUGGGAAUAACCUUGCGAAAGUAAGACUAAUGCCCAAUGACAUCCCACGAAGGCAUCCGAAUGGGAUUAAAGAUUUAUCGGUGAUGGAUGGGGAUGCGUCUGAUUAGCUUGUUGGCGGGGUGACGGCCCACCAAGGCAACGAUCAGUAGGGGUUCUGAGAGGAAGGUCCCCCACAUUGGAACUGAGACACGGUCCAAACUCCUACGGGAGGCAGCAGUGAGGAAGAUUGGUCAAUGGGCGAGAGCCUGAACCAGCCAAGUAGCGUGCAGGAUGACGGCCCUAUGGGUGGUAAACUGCUUUUAGAAGGGAAUAAAGUGGGUCACGUGUGACUUUUUGCAUGUACCUUAUGAAUAAGGACCGGCUAAUUCCGUG